rnacentral:rRNA from 1 species
CCCUUAGAUGUCCGGGGCCGCACGCGCGCUACACUGAAGGAAUCAGCGUGGCUUUCUCCCUGACCCGAAAGGGUUGGGAAACCCGUUGAAUCUCCUUCGUGAUAGGGAUUGGGGCUUGAAAUUGUUCCCCAUGAACGAGGAAUUCCCAGUAAGCGCGAGUCAUAAGCUCGCAUUGAUUACGUCCCUGCCCUUUGUACACACCGCCCGUCGCUACUACCGAUUGAACGGUUUAGUGAGGGCCUCGGAUUGGUCUCGGCCCGCUCUUUACCGGGCGGCGCCGUUGGUCGAGAAGACGCUCGAACUUGAUCGUUUAGAGGAAGUAAAAGUCGUAACA